CUUUAAUUAUGAGUCCCUCAUAUGUUUGUAGUCACCUGUCUUUCCCUUCCUUUUAUUAGUGGGAGAAGGAGGUAUGUUUUAAAUCUAAAAAGGAAGGGAAACACAGGUGAAUACAAACAUAUGAGGGACUCAUAAAGUUG